rnacentral:lncRNA from 1 species
UUCUUGUUAGUUCUAAGUGAAUUCCCUCGGUAUGAUAAUUUGUUCAUCAGUUUGUUCCCCGUUUCUUCUCUAGCCUGAGCCUGACACACUAUUCUAGCUAGACAUGGGUGUGGCUCGUAACACCUGAUGACCAAACGGAUCUACGACACCAUCGAAUCUCAAACUUUAACUACCAAAACUAUUGUUUUUCAUCCUCUAGUCCCUUUUAGAAUUACUAAACGUCCUUUUUUGGGCCGAGAUUUCCAGGAACGCUUUCUCGGGGUUUGUGUGCAUGUAUUUCAAACCAUACAGACCUAAAAAUUAGAAGUCAUUCCAUCUUUAUUCCCGUAGAGCCUUCCAGCAGUUCCUAAACCGCUCCAGUCGGAGCAUGUUAUCAUUCUUGUUUGUUCUGAGUGAAUUCCCUCGGUAUGAUAAUUCUAUCAUCAGUUUGUUCCCCGUUUCUUCUCUAGCCUGAGCCUGGCAAACUAUUCUAGCUAGACAUGGGUGUGGCUCGUAACACCUGAUGACCAAACGGAUCUACGACACCAUCGAAUCUCAAACUUUAACUACCAAAACUAUUGUUUUUCAUUCUAUAGUCCCUUCUAGAAUUUCUAAACGUCCUUUUUUGGGCCGAGAUUUCCAGGAAUGCUUUCUCGGGGUUUGUGUGCAAGUAUUUCAAAUCAUACGGACCUAAAAAUUAGAAGUCAUUCCAUCUUUAUUCCCCUAGAGCCUUCCAGUAGUUCCUAAACCGCUCCAGUCGGAGCACGUUAUCAUUCUUGUUAGUUCAUAGUGAAUUCCCUCGGUAUGAUAAUUCUUUCAUCAGUUUGUUCCCCGUUUCUUCUCUAGCCUGAGCCUGGCACAGUAUUCUAGCUAGACAUGGGUGUGGUCGUAACACCUGAUGACUAAAUGGAUCGACGGCACCAUCGAAUCUCAAACUUUAACUGCCAAAACUAUUGUUUUUCAUCCUGUAAUCCCAUUUAGAAUUACUAAACGUCCUUUUUUGGGCCGAGAUUUAGAGGAACGCUUUGUUGGGGUUUGUGUGCAAGUAUUUCAAACCAUACGGACCUAAAAAUUAGAACUCAUUCCAUAUUUAUUCCCCUUGAGCCUUCCAGCAGUUCCUAAACCGCUCUAGUCGGAGCACGUUAUCAUUCUUGUUAGUUCUAAGAGAAUUCCCUCGGUAUGAUAAUUCUUUUAUCAGUUUGUUCCCCGUUUCUUCUCUAGACUGGGCCCGACACACUAUUCUAGCUAGACAUGGGUGUGGCUCGUAACACCUGAUGACCAAACGGAUCUACGGCACCAUCGAAUCUCAAACUUCAACUGCCAAAACUAUUGUUUUUCAUCCUGUAGUCCCUUUUAGAAUUACUAAACGUCCUUUUUUGGGCCGAGAUUUCCAGGAACGCUUUCUCGGGGUUUGUGUGCAAGUAUUUCAAACCAUACGGACCUAAAAAUUAGAAGUCAUUCCAUCUUUAUUCCCGUAGAGCCAUCCAGCAGUUCCUAAACCGCUCCAGUCGGAGCACGUUAUCAUUCUUGUUAGUUCUGAGUGAAUUCCCUCGGUAUGAUAAUUCUUUCAUCAGUUUGUUCCCCGUUUCUUCUCUAGCCUGAGCCUGACAAACUAUUAUAGCUAGACAUGGGUGUGGCUCGUAACACCUGAUGACCAAACGGAUCUAUGGCACCAUCGAAUCUCAAACUUUAACUGCCAAAACUAUUGUUUUUCAUCCUGUAGUCCCUUUUAGAAUUACUAAACGCCCUUCUUUGGGACGAGAUUUCCAGGAACGCUUUCUCGGGGUUUGUGUGAAAGUAAUUCAAACCAUACGGACCUAAAAAUUAGAAGUCAUUCCAUCUUUAUUCCCGUGGAGCCUUCCAGUAGUUCCUAAACCGCUCCAGUCGGAGCACGUUAUCAUUCUUGUUAGUUCUGAGUGAAUUCCCUCGGUAUGAUAAUUCUUUCAUCAGUUUGUUCCCUGUUUCUUCUCUAGCCUGAGCCUGGCACACUAUUCUAGCUAGACAUGGGUGUGGCUCGUAACACCUGAUGACUAAACUGAUCAAUGACACCAUCGAAUCUCAAACUUUAACUGCCAAAACUAUUGUUUUUCAUCCUGUAGUCCCAUUUAGAAUUACUAAACGUCCUUUUUUGGGCCGAGAUUUCCAGGAACGCUUACUCGGGGUUUGUGUGCAAGUAUUUCAAACCAUACUGACCUAAAAAUUAGAAGUCAAUCCAUCUUUAUUCCCCUAGAGCCUUCCAGCAGUUCCUAAACCGCUCCAGUCGGAGCACGUUAUCAUUCUUGUUAGUUCUGAGUGAAUUCCCUCGGUAUGAUAAUUCUUUCAUCAGUUUGUUCCUUGUUUCUUCUCUAGCCUGAACCUGACACACUAUUCUAGCUAGACAUGGGUGUGGCUCGUAACACCUGAUGACCAAACGGAUCUACGGCACCAUCGAAUCUCAAACUUUAACUGCCAAAACUAUUAUUUUUAAUCCUCUAGUCCCAUUUAGAAUUACUAAACGUCCUUUUUUGGGCCGAGAUUUAGAGGAACGCUUUCAUGCGGUUUGUGUGCAAGUAUUUCAAACCAUACGGACCUAAAAAUUAGAAGUCAUUCCAUCUUUAUUCCCCUAGAGCCUUCCAGCAGUUCCUAAACCGCUCCAGUCGGAGCAUGUUAUCAUUCUUGUUAGUUCUGAGUGAAUUCCCUCGGUAUGAUAAUUCUUUCAUCAGUUUGUGGCCCGUUUCUUCUCUAGCCUGAGCCUGACACACUAUUCUAGCUAGACGUGGGUGUGGCUCGUAACACCUGAUGACCAAACGGAUCUACGGCACCAUCGAAUCUCAAACUUUAAGUGCCAAAACUAUUAUUUUUAAUCCUGUAGUCCCAUUUAGAAUUACAAAAAUGUCCUUUUUUGGGCUGAGAUUUCCAGGAACGCUUUCGUGCGGUUUGUGUGCAAGUAUUUCAAACCAUACAGAC